GAGGGUACAGCUCAAAUGGUAGAGCGGAGGCUUAGCAUGCAUGGGGUCCUGGGUUCAAUCCCCAGUACCUCCU
rnacentral:tRNA from 1 species